rnacentral:sRNA from 1 species
AGCUGAAAGAUAUCCAACGCGUAGCCAACGACAGAAUUACCCCACCACCCCUUGUCCGUCACGAGCUGGGGAAAUAAGUGAAAAACAUAUUGAGCCGAAGGACUCAAGAACAAUACCGCCCCAUGGGAAAAUCUGGAAGGGGGAAGAAGAGAAGCGCCAACGCAUCGCUCAGGUGGCUGUGUAUGCUGACCUCGAUGAGGGCAGAUACGGACGCGGGGGAGAGGGUUUUCAAUAUCAUAUCAUGCUGCACGGGAGGUUGAGGAAGCACGACAAUCCACAAAAACAAAAGGGUCGGAAGGCCUGGUCCUGGUCCUGGUGCUGGUGCUGGCGCUGGCGCUGGCUCUGGCUGGCUGCCCCGCACUCCGCAGGCA